rnacentral:ncRNA from 1 species
UAUAAAGCAAUGAUAAAGAGUAGUACGUAUUCUUAUUCGUUUCAGAGAGUUUGUGGCUGGGGAAAACAAACGCGAAAAAAUACGGAAUGGACUUUUGAGCUUCUUUCUGAACCUUUUAUCAAAAGGAUUGAAAUAGUAGGAGUAGACGUUUCCUUGCGUUAAAAGGAUUCCAGAAUGUCUAAACAGACAAUUAUGGAGCUGAGUGACUCCUAUGCGAGUAAUUUAGGGUGGUACCGCGAACCAUUCGUCCCUAGC